rnacentral:rRNA from 1 species
GUGGGGAAUUUUGGACAAUGGGGGCAACCCUGAUCCAGCCAUUCCGCGUGAGUGAAGAAGGCCUUCGGGUUGUAAACCGCUUUUGUCAGGGAAGAAAUCCUUUGGGUUAAUACCUCGGAGGGAUGACGGUACCUGAAGAAUAAGCACCGGCUAACUACGUGCCAGCAGCCGCGGUAAUACGUAGGGUGCGAGCGUUAAUCGGAAUUACUGGGCGUAAAGCGUGCGCAGGCGGUUUUGUAAGAUCGAUGUGAAAUCCCCGGGCUCAACCUGGGAACUGCAUUGGUGACUGCAAGGCUGGAGUGCGGCAGAGGGGGAUGGAAUUCCGCGUGUAGCAGUGAAAUGCGUAGAUAUGCGGAGGAACACCGAUGGCGAAGGCAAUCCCCUGGGCCUGCACUGACGCUCAUGCACGAAAGCGUGGGGAGCAAACAGGAUUAGAAACCCUAGUAGUCC